GGAAGGGUGGCUCAGUGGUAGAGCGACCGCCGUUCGGCGGUGGAUUACUUAAGGCUUCGCGUGGUUCGACUCCCGCCCCUUCCA
rnacentral:tRNA from 1 species